rnacentral:lncRNA from 1 species
GCCGGGCGUGGUGGCAUGCGCCUGUAAUCCCAGCUACUUGGGAGGCUGAGGCAGGAGAAUCGCUUGAACCUGGGAGGCGGAGGUUGCAGUGAGCUGAGAUCGCGCCACUGCACUCCACUCUGGGCGACAGAGUAAGACCCUGUCUCAAAAAAAAAAAAAAAGUGAAAACCAUUCUUGACUUGCUGACCAUAUAGAAGCAGGCCUUGGGCCAGCCCUGAUCCAAAGCAGAAGUUCCUUUUUUUUUUUUUGAGACAGAGUCUUGCUCUGUCACUCAGGCUGGAGUGCAGCGGCGCGAUCUCGGCUCACUGCAACCUCUGCCUCC